UUUGAGGCCAGCCUACUGAGCCACAUAUCGAGACCCUGUCUCCAAAAAAAAGAGUCAGAGCUGGCCCUACCGGCACAUGCCUGUAAUCCUAAGUACUCAAGAGGCUGAAGCAAGAGGAGCAUAAGUUCAAGACCAGUCUGGGUAACACCCUGUGUCAAAUGUUUAAAAAAUAAAAAGGGCUGGGCAUGCAGCUCAAUACCACAAAAUAAAACCAGAAAAAAACGUAGGGGUCUUUUUAUUCAAAGUUAGUGUUCUGUGUUCUGGACUCAGGCCUGGAUGGUCAGCCUCUAAGGUGGCCCACAUGUAGUUCAACAUCAGAGAAUCCAGAGCCCAGGUGACACGACAGUGCACUUGGGUGCUGCAGGUGACGACAUCACAGAAUUGAAGAUUGUGCUUGUGUGACUUGCCUUGGAGACAAGCCAAGAGACUGUGAGCAUUUCCUCAAGCAUCCUCUGGGCAGCAUCAAGAUUGACCACUCCUUUUCUCCCCACCGUGGGGCGUGGAGAAGGCGUUCACCAAGGACAUCCUCUGCUAGGGUCCCGCUGAGUGUCCUCCGUGACCCGCCACGUUGCGAACACGGUCUUUUGCUUUUUAGUGUUCGGCAUGAUCAUCACCAUUGGCCAGUCUAUUGUGUAUGUGAUGACGGGGAUGUACGGGGACCCCUCCGAGAUGGGUGCCGGCAUCUGCCUGCUCAUCACCAUCCAGCUCUUUGUUGCUGGCCUGAUUGUCCUACUUUUGGAUGAAC
rnacentral:lncRNA from 1 species